rnacentral:rRNA from 1 species
GUGAGUAGAGUGGCGCACGGGUGAGUAACGCGUAGAUAAUCUACCUUCCAGUCUGGGAUAACCUUUCGAAAGGAAGGCUAAUACCGGAUAAAAUCCAGACAUUAAUUAUUUGGAUUGAAAGCUCCGACGCUGGAAGAUGAGUCUGCGUUCUAUUAGCUGGUUGGUGGGGUAAAGGCCUACCAAGGCAACGAUAGAUAGCGGGUUUGAGAGGAUGAUCCGCCACACUGGCACUGAGACACGGGCCAGACUCC